rnacentral:rRNA from 1 species
CCAUUUGACCUCAAAUCAGGUAGGACUACCCGCUGAACUUAAGCAUAUCAAUAAGCGGAGGAAAAGAAACUAACAAGGAUUCCCCUAGUAACUGCGAGUGAAGCGGGAAAAGCUCAAAUUUAAAAUCUGGUAGUCUCUGGCUGCCCGAGUUGUAAUCUGGAGAAGUGUUUUCUGUGCUGGGCCGUGUACAAGUCUCUUGGAAUAGAGCGUCAUAGAGGGUGAGAAUCCCGUCUUUGACACGGACAUCCAGUGCUCUGUGAUGCACUCUCAAAGAGUCGAGUUGUUUGGGAAUGCAGCUCAAAAUGGGUGGUAAAUUCCAUCUAAAGCUAAAUAUUGGCAAGAGACCGAUAGCGAACAAGUACCGUGAGGGAAAGAUGAAAAGAACUUUGGAAAGAGAGUUAAACAGUACGUGAAAUUGUUGAAAGGGAAACGCUUGAAGUCAGUCGCGUCUAGCAAGGAUCAGCCUUUCUCGGAAGGUGUAUUUCUUGCUUGACGGGUCAACAUCAAUUUUGAYUACUGGAAAAAGGCCAGAGGAAGGUGGCACCUUCGGGUGUGUUAUAGCCUUUGGUCAUAUACAGUAGUUGGGAUUGAGGAAUUCAGCAUGCCUUCAUGGCUGGGGUUCGCCCACAUUCAUGCUUAGGAUGUUGGC